rnacentral:rRNA from 1 species
UACGGGGGGGGCAAGCGUUGUUCGGAAUUACUGGGCGUAAAGGGCUCGUAGGCGGCCAACUAAGUCAGACGUGAAAUCCCUCGGCUCAACCGGGGAACUGCGUCCGAUACUGGUGGGCUCGAAUCCGGGAGAGGGAUGUGGAAUUCCAGGUGUAGCGGUGAAAUGCGUAGAUAUCUGGAGGAACACCGGUGGCGAAGGCGGUUCUCUGGGCCUGACCUGACGCUGAGGAGCGAAAGCGUGGGGAGCGAACAGG